UACGCCUACUACCAAUUAGCUGGUGAAACCCAGCUAGCGAAGGCGCUCCUGACGCAGUUGCAGGCGCAGAAUGUCACCGAGACAGACUUGAUAUCAAUGGUGCCGCCCCUCCCCGCCCACCUCUGGCGGGACAAACGUGUUACAAACGUGCCCAGGCUAUCAAAUUCAUCUGAUACUCAAGCACAUGAAGAAAAAUAUACUGAUUUUAACCACGAUAAUGAUAUAAAAUCAAAGCAACAGUCGGAGUUUCGAAGGGAAGGCAAAGCGAAACCUGAUUCAUUUAAAGUUUCUACAUGUCACAGACAAGGUAACGAAGAUAGGUCGGUAAAUGCGCCGGAAUUUCUUGAUGAAAAUCACCGUGAAUCAAAUAGGCAAUUUUCUAGCUCCACGUUCUCACCACGUGGCCAAAAUAAGCUGUCACAGCUUCAGAAUACAUCACCAAUAGAGCAGGAUGAACCAUCACGAGAAUGGGACUACGAUGCACCUCCAUAUGAGCGAGAGUUAUGCCAGUCCAUGCGGUCUUUCGGAUCGAGAUAUUUUCCGCCCUUUAACGAAGAGCAGGAAAAAACCAAAAGCAAUCGUCGAUUUUCUAAUUCCAGUCCAGGAACUAGCAAAGAACAACGGCAAAUACAGCGAACAAAAUCAUCGCACUCAUCCGACGUGUGGUGAAGUGAAGAGUGCGAUCAGAUGUGAAGAAUCCGUAGUGUCAAGCUCCAAUUCUCUUAUCCAUAACUGUUGAAGAAACUAUUGUUCUAUAAUUUAAAAAUAUUACUGCACUUUUUCCGUUAUAUUCACAACCAAUUCCGUAGUGCCGAGCUCCAACUCCCUUAUCCAUAACUGUUGAAGAAACUAUUAUUAAAUUUGUAGGUAAAUAUUACUACUCUUUUUCCGUUAUAUUCACAACCAAAGCCUUAGCCACGAC